rnacentral:rRNA from 1 species
ACGAACGCUGGCGGUGCGCCUUAUGCAUGCAAGUUGAGCGAAGCUUUUUGGUAGUUUACUACUAGAAAUGACUGAGCGGCGAACGGGUGAGUAACGCGUGAGCAAUCUACCUUAGUUACUGGGAUAGCCCGAGGAAACUCGGAUUAAUACCAGAUAUUCUUAUUUUUUCACAUGAAGUUUUAAGGAAAGGUCAGCCGAACUAAGAUGAGCUCGCGUUCUAUCAGCUAGUUGGUGGGGUAAAAGCCUACCAAGGCUACGACGGAUAGCUGGUCUGAGAGGACGAUCAGCCACACUGGGACUGAGACACGGCCCAGACUCCUACGGGAGGCUGCAGCAGGGAAUAUUGUGCAAUGAGCGAAAGCUUGACACAGCGACACCGCGUGUGGGAUGACGGUUCUAGGAUUGUAAACCACUUUCAGGAGGGAAGAAAAUGACGGUACCUCCACAAGAAGACCCGGCCAACUAUGUGCCAGCAGCCGCGGUAAUACAUAGGGGUCAAGCGUUGUCCGGAUUUAUUGGGCGUAAAGAGCUCGUAGGCGGUUCAACAAGUCGGUCGUAAAAGUUUAGGGCUCAACCCUAAAAUGUCGAUCGAUACUGUUGUGACUAGGAUACGGUAGAGGUGAAUGGAAUUCCGAGUGUAGCGGUGAAAUGCGUAGAUAUUCGGAGGAACACCAAUUGCGAAGGCAGUUCACUGGACCGUGAUCGACGCUGAGGAGCGAAAGCUAGGGGAGCAAACAGGAUUAGAUACCCUGGUAGUCCUAGCUGUAAACGAUGGAUACUAGAUGUAGGAACUGGAUUGACGGUUUCUGUAUCGUAGCUAACGCGUUAAGUAUCCCGCCUGGGGAGUACGGUCGCAAGACUAAAACUCAAAGGAAUUGACGGGACCCCGCACAAGCGGCGGAGCAUGCGGCUUAAUUCGAUGAUACCCGUAGAACCUUACCUGGACUUGACAUAUAGGGAAAAACUGGAGAAAUCCAGUGUGCGUAAGCGCCCUUUACAGGUGGUGCAUGGCUGUCGUCAGCUCGUGUCGUGAGAUGUUGGGUUAAGUCCCGCAACGAGCGCAACCCCUGUCCUAUGUUGCCAGCAAGUAAUGUUGGGGACUCAUAGGAGACUGCCGGUGAUAAACCGGAGGAAGGUGGGGAUGACGUCAAGUCAUCAUGCCCCUUAUGUCCAGGGCUGCACGCAUGCUACAAUGGCAAGUACAACGAGUCGCAAUACCGCGAGGUGGAGCAAAUCUCUUAAAGCUUGUCUCAGUUCGGAUAGGAGUCUGCAACUCGACUCCUUGAAGUUGGAGUCGCUAGUAAUCGCAAAUCAGCAAAGUUGCGGUGAAUACGUUCUCGGGGUUUGUACACACCGCC